CGACCGCGACCCCAGGUCAGACGGGACUACCCGCUGAGUUUAAGCAUAUCAAUAAGCGGUGGAGAA
rnacentral:rRNA from 2 species